rnacentral:rRNA from 1 species
CCUACGGGAGGCAGCAGUGGGGAAUUUUGGACAAUGGGGGCAACCCUGAUCCAGCAAUGCCGCGUGCAGGAAGAAGGCCUUCGGGUUGUAAACUGCUUUUGUCAGGGAAGAAAUCCUCUGGGCUAAUACCUCGGGGGGAUGACGGUACCUGAAGAAUAAGCACCGGCUAACUACGUGCCAGCAGCCGCGGUAAUACGUAGGGUGCGAGCGUUAAUCGGAAUUACUGGGCGUAAAGCGUGCGCAGGCGGUUUUGUAAGACAGAGGUGAAAUCCCCGGGCUUAACCUGGGAACUGCCUUUGUGACUGCAAGGCUGGAGUACGGCAGAGGGGGAUGGAAUUCCGCGUGUAGCAGUGAAAUGCGUAGAUAUGCGGAGGAACACCGAUGGCGAAGGCAAUCCCCUGGGCCUGUACUGACGCUCAUGCACGAAAGCGUGGGGAGCAAACAGGAUUAGAUACCCUGGUAGUCCACGCCCUAAACGAUGUCAACUGGUUGUUGGACGGCUUGCUGUUCAGUAACGAAGCUAACGCGUGAAGUUGACCGCCUGGGGAGUACGGCCGCAAGGUUGAACUCAAAGGAAUUGACGGCUGAGAGNGCGAGACGACGACGAGGGAGAGG